GAUGAACGCUGGCGGCGUGCUUAACACAUGCAAGUCGAACGAGAAGUGAAGACGGAAACCUUCGGGCGGAAGGCUUUAUUUCGAGUGGCGGACGGGUGAGUAACGCGUGGGUAACCUGCCUCAUACAGGGGGAUAACAGUUGGAAACGACUGUUAAUACCGCAUAAGACCACAGCACCGCAUGGUGCGGGGGUAAAAACUCCGGUGGUAUGAGAUGGACCCGCGUUCGAUUAGCCAGUUGGCGGGGUAACGGCCCACCACAGCGACGAUCGAUAGCCGAUCUGAGAGGAUGACCGGCCACAUUGGGACUGAGACACGGCCCGAACUCCUACGGGAGGCAGCAGUGGGGAAUAUUGCACAAUGGGGGAAACCCUGAUGCAGCGACGCCGCGUGAGUGAAGAAGUAUUGCGGUAUGUAAAGCUCUAUCAGCAGGGAAGAAAAUGACGGUACCUGAGUAAGAAGCCCCGGCUAACUACGUG
rnacentral:rRNA from 1 species